CCCUAGCCCCGAUAGAAGUGGAAAUCCUUUUUUGGCGAUUUUUCUUCGCCAAAAAAGAUUGGAACGUAUAGCGGGAAAUAGC
rnacentral:sRNA from 26 species